rnacentral:lncRNA from 1 species
AACAUAUAUGCCCAUCCCCUUGAAAGCUGUCAAUCUAAAAUUCUCUUUGAAAGUCAGGGAGUCUGCUUUAUACUCAGUAGGUAUGAACCCUGGUAGCUCAGUUGUCCAGAGCUCUCAGUAGAAAAGCUUAUGCUCUUUGUAAUUCCACGUUUCUUCUCCAUAUCUCUUUGUAAUUCUACAUUGAUCAGUUGGGACAUGGAAGCCAAACGAAUCUCAGGCUUUGCCACAGUGCUGCGCAUCCUAAAAAUUAUUUGGGGGAAAAAUAUUGCUGUUUGCUACAGACACUAGGAAGAUUUAAAAAAAAGUGGUUUCAGAAAGAGAUGGGCUUUGGUGAUAGUUAUAGACUGACUCUUAAGUACCUAUGAUUAUUAUUAUUUAAGAAUGUAGGGGUUGAAUUUACAUGUAUCAUAAUGCUGAAAUCAAUCCUUAUAAUCUGAAAAGGACCCUCUUUUCCGGUAAAGUUAAGGAUGCUUAUCUCUGAACUCAAGGGGAUAAUAUUUAUUGUAAAGGUAAUUGCCAUAUUCAAAGCCAUAGUUGAUUUCAAGUUCCUACCCACCUCCAAGCUCCUUUAAAGAAUAAUGGAAGGAAUAAAUUUCAUAGUUUCAUUCUUUUGUAGCUACUGGGAUAAUCAUUUCCCAAGUUGGUAUUAUUAAACAUUGAUUUGGGAUAAUUAAGCAGAAUAAGGGGACAUUUGAUGUGGGGCAGUGAAAGAUUCCAGAAUGCAGAAGUCGAUAAAACUAGGUUAACAAGUGGCAGGGAAUAAUGUGGGUGACUUGGCAGGUGAGUUAGCGAACUUCUCUGGAUCUCAAAUGUGCCACCUGUGAAGUGGUACUAAUAACACUUUUUUCAUACUGUUGUUCUCAGAAUUCAUUGAGAGAAUGAUUGUAAAGCAGCAGAUGCAUCUUAACCUAAAGGGACACUUUGGCCAGCUCACUGGGUAUUUCCAUGGGGACCUUGUUGAAGAAUCAAGGUCGAGAUCUCUAAGCAUC